UACGUAGGAGGCGAGCGUUGUCCGGAUUACUGGGCGUAAAGAGCGCGCAGGCGGCAUACCAAGUACGAAGUGAAAUCUCCCUGCUCAACGGGGGAGGGUGCUUUGUAGACUGGUAAGCUCGAGGACGGUAGAGGGGGGUAGAAUUGCUGGUGUAGCGGUGAAAUGCGUAGAGAUCAGCAGGAUACCCGUGGCGAAGGCGGCCCCUGGGCCGAACCUGACGCUGAGGCGGCGAAA
rnacentral:rRNA from 1 species